AUUGAACGCUGGCGGCAUGCUUUACACAUGCAAGUCGAACGGCAGCGCGGGCUUCGGCCUGGCGGCGAGUGGCGAACGGGUGAGUAAUACAUCGGAACGUGCCCAGUAGUGGGGGAUAGCUCGGCGAAAGCCGGAUUAAUACCGCAUACGACCUGAGGGUGAAAGCGGGGGAUCUUCGGACCUCGCGCUAUUGGAGCGGCCGAUGGCAGAUUAGCUAGUUGGUGGGGUAAAGGCCUACCAAGGCGACGAUCUGUAGCUGGUCUGAGAGGACGACCAGCCACACUGGGACUGAGACACGGCCCAGACUCCUACGGGAGGCAGCAGUGGGGAAUUUUGGACAAUGGGCGAAAGCCUGAUCCAGCAAUGCCGCGUGUGUGAUGAAGGCCUUCGGGCUGUAAAGCACUUUUGGCGGGAACGAAAAGGAAUGUGCCAAUACCACGGUUCGAUGACGGUACCCGCAGAAUAAGCACCGGCUAACUACGUG
rnacentral:rRNA from 1 species